AAAUUCAAAAGAGAGUUUUGAAACGCCUUGAAAAAUACAAAUGGAAAGAAGAUGCUUGCUUGGAUAUUCUGGAGGCUGUUCCUUUUACAUCCAUAAAUGAUUGGGCUGUACACAUUGCCUCUAUGAGGAAAAAAACACAGGAAACCU